rnacentral:rRNA from 1 species
UACAGAGGGUGCAAGCGUUAAUCAGAAUUACUGGGCGUAAAGCGUGCGUAGACGGUUAUGUAAGUCAGGUGUGAAAGCCCCGGGCUCAACCUGGGAAUUGCAUUUGAGACUGCAUAGCUAGGGUGCGGAAGAGGGAAGCGGAAUUUCCGGUGUAGCGGUGAAAUGCGUAGAUAUCGGAAGGAACAUCAGUGGCGAAAGCGGCUUCCUGGUCCAGCACCGACGUCAGGCACGAAAGCGUGGGGAGCAAACAGG